CCAAAAGACGCUAAAUCAUGCUUUAGGCGCCGCCCAAGGAUGGGCCGCGACCGAUCAGGUAGUUGGUGAGGCAACGGCUCACCAAGCCUUUAACCGGUGCGGNCCGUGGGAGCGGGAGCCCGGAGAUGGGCACUGAGACAAGGGCCCAGGCCCUACGGGGCGCAGCAGUCGCGAAAACUUUGCAAUACACGAAAGUGUGACAGGGCUAUCCCGAGUGCCAUCCGCUGAGGAAGGCUUUUACCCAGUCUAGAAAGCUGGGAGAAUAAGGAGAGGGCAAGCCUGGUGUCAGCCGCCGCGGUAAUACCAGCUCUCCGAGUGGUGUGGAUGUUUAUUGGGCCUAAAGCAUCCGUAGCUGGCCAAGUUAGUCCCCUGUUAAAUCCACCGAAUUAAUCGUUGGAGUGCGGGGGAUACUGCUCGGCUAGGGGACGGGAGAGGCCGACGGUAUUUUCGGGGUAGGGGUGAAAUCCUAUAAUCCCGGGAAGACCACCAGUGGCGAAGGCUGUCGGCUAGAACGCGCCCGACGGUGAGGGAUGAAAGCUGGGGGAGCGAACCGGAUUAGAUACCCGGGUAGUCCCAGCUGUAAACGAUGCAGGCUAGGUGUUUGGGCGGCCACGGGCCGCUCUAGUGCCGCAGGGAAGCUGUUAAGCCUGCCGUCUGGGGAGUACGG
rnacentral:rRNA from 1 species